rnacentral:rRNA from 1 species
UACGUAGGGUGCAAGCGUUGUCCGGAAUUAUUGGGCGUAAAGAGCUUGUAGGCGGUUUGCCGCGUCUGCUGUGAAAUUUCGGGGCUCAACCCCGAACUUGCAGUGGGUACGGGCAGACUAGAGUGUGGUAGGGGAGACUGGAAUUCCUGGUGUAGCGGUGAAAUGCGCAGAUAUCAGGAGGAACACCGAUGGCGAAGGCAGGUCUCUGGGCCGAUACUGACGCUGAGGAGCGAAAGCGUGGGGAGCGAACAGG